rnacentral:rRNA from 1 species
AUUGAACGCUGGCGGCAUGCCUUACACAUGCAAGUCGAACGGCAGCACGGGAGCAAUCCUGGUGGCGAGUGGCGAACGGGUGAGUAAAGUAUCGGAACGUGCCCAGUCGUGGGGGAUAACGUAGCGAAAGUUACGCUAAUACCGCAUACGAUCUAUGGAUGAAAGCGGGGGAUCGCAAGACCUCGCGCGAUUGGAGCGGCCGAUAUCGGAUUAGGUAGUUGGUGGGGUAAAGGCUCACCAAGCCGACGAUCUGUAGCUGGUCCGAGAGGACGACCAGCCACACUGGGACUGAGACACGGCCCAGACUCCUACGGGAGGCAGCAGUGGGGAAUUUUGGACAAUGGGCGAAAGCCUGAUCCAGCCAUGCCGCGUGCAGGAUGAAGGCCUUCGGGUUGUAAACUGCUUUUGUACGGAACGAAAAGGUUUGGCCUAAUAAGCUGAGCUCAUGACGGUACCGUAAGAAUAAGCACCGGCUAACUACAUGCCAGCCGCCGCCGUAA